GCCAGACUCCUACGGGAGGCAGCAGUGGGGGAUAUUGCACAAUGGGGGAAACCCUGAUGCAGCGACGCCGCGUGUGGGAAGACGGUCCUCUGGAUUGUAAACCACUGUCCCCAGGGACGAAGAUGACGGUACCUGGGGAGGAAGCUCCGGCUAACUACGUGCCAGCAGCCGCGGUAAUACGUAGGGGGCAAGCGUUAUCCGGAUUUACUGGGUGUAAAGGGAGCGUAGACGGCGGCGCAAGUCCGGAGUGAAAGCCCACGGCCCAACCGUGGGACUGCUCUGGAAACUGUGCGGCUGGAGUGCAGGAGAGGUAGGUGGAAUUCCUGGUGUAGCGGUGAAAUGCGUAGAUAUCAGGAGGAACACCGGUGGCGAAGGCGGCCUGCUGGACUGCGACUGACGUUGAGGCCCGAAAGCGUGGGGAGCAAACAGGAUUAGAUACCCGAGUA
rnacentral:rRNA from 1 species